rnacentral:tRNA from 1 species
AGUAUUGUGCCAGAGUUUUAUGGGCUUUGUUGAUGUCAAAGAAUACGAGAAAUUUUCUCCAAUACUU